UGGCUGUCGAAUUUUGAAUUGGAAAUGGGUUCGACGGUGUUAGUGGUUAGUCUCACAUCGACUAUGAAUUAAAUGUGUUGAGUAUAUAAGAUGUAAGUCAUAUAGACACAUAUAUUUUUAUGAUUUUGGAUGAUGAUAUAAUAUCAAUAGCCCUUGGUAGUCAUGAUUGUUAGACCCAUUGUUUCCCCAGCUCAAAUUUGAAGCUUCUAUGGCAAUUACAAUCGAUUUUGUUCUGUGUAGCUCUCACACAAAUACACCAUUUUAUC
rnacentral:lncRNA from 1 species